GAUGUUAUUUACUUAAGCUCUAGGCAAUUACAAGUAAAGCAGUGGAAAAUUAAGCUAGAGCAAUUAUACUAUGGCUUUAGGGUGCAAUUGAUCUAAAAUUAACUUAUAGUUGUACGAUCAAUUUUAAUCUAUGUGUAUGGUAAGAAUAGAGUGGAAGCUAAGCAAAUUCUAAACAAUCACUUAUAAAUCUAUAGAAAAUAAAGCUAGAGAUAUUACACAAUCAAGUAUGAAUGUAAGGCAUGAAAUACAAGAGAUAAGGCAUCACAAACACAAAGAUGUAUAGUGGUUCGGUGCACCCCAACACCUACAUCCACUCCCCAAGACCUCUUGGAAAUUUCACUAUAAUCCCUCAGAUUACAGC
rnacentral:lncRNA from 1 species